rnacentral:rRNA from 1 species
CGUAUAUUAAAGUUGUUGCAGUUAAAAAGCUCGUAGUCGGAUUUUGGCAUCACGCCGAACUGUCUGCCGAUUGGUAAGUACGGUUUGGCGGGUGCUUCCUUCCGGAGGCUCGUUCCCUUCUUCAUUGAAGGGUUCGUUGGUUCCGGGUCUUUUACUUUGAGAAAAUUAGAGUGUUCAAAGCAGGCCUAUGCUCUGAAUAGGUUAGCAUGGAAUAAUAGAAUAGGACUUUGGUUCUAUUUUGUUGGUUUCUAGGACCGAAGUAAUGAUUAAUAGGGACAGUUGGGGGCAUUCAUAUUCCAUUGUCAGAGGUGAAAUUCUUGGAUUAACGGAAGAUGAACUUCUGCGAAAGCAUCUGCCAAGGAUGUUUUCAUUGAUCAAGAACGAAAGUUAGGGGAUCGAAGACGAUCAGAUACCGUCGUAGUCUUAACCAUAAACUAUGCCGACUAGGGAUGUGGAGGCGUUAACUUUGUACGACCCUUCAUGCACCUUAUGAGAAAUCAAAGUCUAUGGGUUC